CACAUACAGAAAUGGGCAACUGCUUUCUCUUUUAGCUUCUUUCUCCUUUUUCUCUUUUGCAUAGCUUUAUGGCUCUCACUGAAGGUGAAACUAGGAAAAUACUUCACCCAGAAGUGAGUCUAUAGGUGAUGAAAGUUAUAACAAGGCUCUAUUGUCUUUGGUGGAGGUGGGGAGCCCCGCAUGCCCUGGGCUCAGGCAUUAAGUACUUUUCUACCAAACACUCACACACCGGGCAGGUGUUUGAGGUGGGGUGGCCCCGGGGCAGUUGCUGAACAGGGUACACAAAAGGUUAGUGAGUAUAAUUACACUUUCAUAAAAAUGAAUGUUGGACUUCCUCCCCUGCUGCGUCUUAGCUACUGGGGCUAAAAUAAAUAUUUUAAUUAGUUUCAGCUUCCAAAAGAGUCUUAGCAGGCCAGACUUCCGAAUCUGCCUCCCACGGGGAAAACGCUUUCAAAUCCCACCAGUUGGCACCAAAUCCCUCCCAAACAAAAACCCAAAACCCAAAACCACAUUUCGAACUAAACAAGUCACUGCUUCUUAGAUAGACAGCUGCAGUGUGCACUGGGAGCUCGGCGUGACACAAUCUCGAGCAAAAGCAGAACCUCCGGGUCUUUUGUCAUUUACCACGAACUGCAGGAUGUUACCACCAAAGCACCGCAGAAGUCUUAGAACCCACCACCCUUUCAUUUGACGUUUCCAGAAAAAGAUAGGUGCGCCCCAGAGAGUUUAUGGCACAUAAAUAGGUAACAAGUUCAUAGUGGAUUCAAGAUAGAGAAACACUUCACAGAGAAUGCAAGAAGAAAGACUACCAUGUUGGGAGCCUCUGUUCACGGAAGAACUAUCAGAGGCAAUAAUGCGUGGGCCAAUUCUGGCGAAUGGCGAGCUGACUGUGGUACACAGACAUACAUGGUUUCUUUGGCCAGGACGGUGUUUUUCAAAGUCUAAGCGAGCUGCAGUGGCACCAGCUACUUUUGUAACGGUGCACGGCUACACCACAGGUCCCAGCUUCCCCAGCGUAGAGCAGGGACCACGAGACUGAGUUCUGCCAAUGGAACAUACGCUUCUGGGCAGUGUCAUGGCAAAUCCUUCCCCCAGUGUUCGAGCUGUACCCGCAGCUGGACGCACGGAGGGAAACUAGUGUAGCAGAUGUAGAUCCUCAUGAAGAAGAGAGCCUCUGCCCCUGAAGGAGCUGACAGGGUCUCCACCGUGACCUGCACUGGCUGUGAUGGGAGGGAACAUCAACACCACUGAGAUGUUGAGUUUGUGUGCGACAACCGUGUCUUUGUUUGGGUCCCUCUAAAAUUGGGUUAUGAGAUAUGGA